CAGUCUCAAUAUGGACCCCUGAAGGGCACCAGGAAAUGGAUGGCUGCAUUGGGUAUCAUUAUAAAGACAGGCACACAGAAAAGUGAAACAGUUAUUCUCCAUGCUAUGCCAUAGUUGCUGCAUGAUAUCCACUGCUGGAGAUACACAAAACUCAUCUGGAAAAAUCCAAAGCAACUUGAUCUAAUGAUGUGAACCCUGCUUUGAACAGAAGGUUUGACCAAAUGAACUCUGUGAUAUGAAAACAGAAUACUUUUCCUGAUAUUUCAUGAAAUAAUAUGAUAAAAUACUGCUGGAGACUCACAAGGAAAACAAGUUAUGCAGAAGGGAAAUCCACAUGACUGGAUCAUUAGAAGGGUUCCCCAGCACGUGUAGCCCCCAGCAAGGACCAUGGGCAACUGUCCUGAAUGACUCAUCUAAAAAGAAAGAAGAUAUGCAUUCUUAGCAGUUUUUGUGAAAAACCAGGUGCUUGAAACCAGCUGAACUGUUGCAGAAAUAACACUCUUCAGGUGAAACCUGGAGAAGGAUGUCCUUUUUUCAGCCGUUAUUCACUACGUGUUGCACAUUCUAGGAGUUGCAUCUGUCUCUCGGUACACAAGGACUGGGAGGACCUGUGCCUCAGAAGGGAAUGUGAGAAACUUUCCAUCUCCUGAUAAUACAGAAGAAAACUCUCAUUCUUUCCCUUCUCAGGGUUUCUAAUGGCUACACAUAGUAUUAAGGUGGAGUGAAGGCAAGAUGCAACUCCCUUCCAUGAACUGGUGAAGAAGGAGCAGUAAAAUUCCUCAAAUGUGGAGCCUGAAAUGUCUAUGAAUUAGGUAGGAGUAGAGAGAGGAGCUGGCAUCAUAUUUUUUAUUUCUAUGGUAACCUCACCAAGGGAAGCCCAGCAACAGCACAAAUUAUUAUGCAAAAUUUUUCCAGUUUGAUUUUGAACCCAAAAUUCACGUGAAGCAGAUCUCUUGAAUAACUUCACCAAUUCAGAUGUUCUCACUGAUUGUAUCUGACUAGAACAAAGAUUUAUUUUUAAGUUUAUAGAAAUGACUUUCAGUCCUCCUAAACAUCACUAUAUAGAAGGAAGAUCAAUCCUUAAUUAAUACUGUUGUCUUUAUGACAAAGUUCACCUUCCUGAGGUUUAUAUCUCACAUGACCACAGAUUCUGCCCAGGCAGUACAACACAGAUCUUUGCUGUUGCAGUAAAUAUUGCCAUCAUUUCUUCUAAGAACCUUUAUUCACUACAUGAUUUAUAAGUACAGCAGAUUAAACAGGAAAAAAGCAGAAACUCUGACAUAGUGUUCAUGUGAUGCAAGGUGCGGUACCAGAUUUCCAUGGAGCAGUUCUGUUUUCAUGAUAAACAGCUUUUAAGACUCAGCAAACAUUGUCUUGUGUUGCCUCAGGGAGGCAACUCAUCUGCAUGUGCUCUGAUAGCAUCAGAUGAUUGCUGGGGCUUUUAAAUAUCACACAUAUGAACUUCAGAAUGGCCUAAAGGUUCUCAAGCAGUGAGGGCUAAGCUGAACUUUGACACCCUGGAGAUGAGGAGCUGGAGCCUUACUCAGUUUCUUGUUAAGGAAAGAGUAUAAUGAUGACAAAGCUGUGUUGGAGAGUUGGAGGGGAAAUUGGUGGUGGGGAGGAAAAGAACAGAGAAGCCUGCAAAGUGUGUUCAGUUUGACAGGAAAACCUGACCUCUGGUUAGGUCUGUUCUGUCCUCCCACCCGUACUAACAGGAACUGUCUUUCCUUGUGCAUCAACAGUCAGGGAUGCCCUGGGUUUACAGCUCUCUGCUGCAGGCAAUGGAGUCAGCAGAAUCAUGUUCAUUUUACUUCUAUUUUUGCCUAUUGCUUCCCCCCAUCCCGCUCCCCAAACUGCCUCAUAUCUUGUUGCUUCAGGAUUUGCUAUGAGAACCUUCACUGUCCUUGGUUGCGUAUGUCACAUGACCACAGAUUCUACUCAGCAGUGCAACACAGGUCUUUGCUGUUUUAGUAAACAUUACCAUUGUUCCAUCCAGAAACCUUUAUUUAAUAAGUAUGGCAGAUUAAACAGGCUUACUUUACACACACCUGUUCCUGAUUUUGAUGAAAAGUAAGGAGUAACAACACAUAUGAGUAAUAAACAAUUCCGUUUUCUGACCCUGUACUGAAAUCAUACAGCCAGAACUCUGCCUCGACGAACCAUAGAUAUUGCUUCAGAAAGAAACCACCUCUACCCUAAACUUUAGGGAAUUUGUAAUCUCAAAGACUUUUAACCAGAAUGUUCAACCUUGAACUCUUUUCCGUGUCCAGUCUAGCGGCUCUCCUAGACCUGGGGUCAGAUGUGCUCUUAGAUGUCUUUUAUGACUCAACACUCUGGCCUCAUAAGUCCCUGUCAUCACUGACACAGUGACAGAGACAAAAUGUUACCGUGUUGUACAAUUGCUUUGUAAGGACUGAAGUGAACCCAGAAGAAGCCUUUACUCUUUUAGCCAGAGGCUAAAUAAGCAGCAUCAUAGAGCUGAAAAUGUGCAUCUGGACUGUGCAGAGACUUUCAGACUUCAUGGCAACCUGAGGCUGCAGAAUGAAUAACUGAUUGAAACCUCAAAACAAGAAGUUUAAAAAAAAAAAAAAAAGACCAGCUACAGACAUAUAUUUUAAAAAGG